rnacentral:sRNA from 1 species
GUAUUGGGAAGGCAGAUAAAAUGCCAGGUCUGGACUGCCUCUGGGCAUAACCUCACCCUGUGGGAUGUGAAUGAAUAGCAUCUUGCCUGGUAAAUCCACAGGAAUUGAUAAGGCAGGCGCAGUUCUCCCAAACAGGCCUUUUCUCUUUAAGCUGUAGCUGUGGUUUCUGCAGCAAUUUUGUUUUUGCCUUGAAAGAGGUGCUCUGGAUUAUCAGACCUCCAUGUAUGACAAUUUGUACCUGCAUGGAAUUGAAGACUCGGAGGCUGAAGAAUAAUGUGAUGUGUUACCCAAGAUGGUGUGAACAGAGCUUCAAGCCAAUGGAGAAGACUAGGCCUAAAUAGCUGACCUGGUGAAGUGACACAUAAAGCCACACCUGGAGUGCCACCUCCUCAGCAGUCUUUCUCAGUGCCAAUGCAUUUAUGGCUGGUUCAGCGGAUUCCUACACAAGCAGGCCGUCUGACUCCGAUGUCUCUUUGGAAGAGGACCGGGAAGCAAUUCGACAGGAGAGAGAACAGCAAGCAGCUAUCCAGCUUGAGAGAGCAAAGUCCAAACCUGUAGCAUUUGCCGUGAAGACAAAUGUGAGCUACUGCGGCGCCCUGGAUGAGGAUGUGCCUGUUCCAAGCACAGCUAUCUCCUUUGAUGCUAAAGACUUUCUACAUAUUAAAGAGAAAUAUAACAAUGAUUGGUGGAUAGGAAGGCUGGUGAAAGAGGGCUGUGAAAUUGGCUUCAUUCCAAGUCCACUCAGAUUGGAGAACAUACGGAUUCAGCAAGAACAAAAAAGAGGACGUUUUCACGGAGGGAAAUCAAGUGGAAAUUCUUCUUCAAGUCUUGGAGAAAUGGUAUCUGGGACAUUUCGAGCAACUCCCACGUCAACAGCAAAACAGAAGCAAAAAGUGACGGAGCACAUUCCUCCUUACGAUGUUGUGCCGUCAAUGCGUCCGGUGGUGUUAGUGGGGCCGUCACUGAAAGGUUACGAGGUACAAAUAUCAUCUGUUACUCUUCAGUUCUUGAUCGAGCACCCAGGAGACAGUCAUGUUGACGCUUGCUCCUCAAGGGUCUGUUUCCACGUGGGUCCUGAUGGAAGCCAGUGCUCAGCACGGGAAGGCAGGGGGUACCGUGUGGGGCUCAUGAGGCCCUCUGCCCUUUCUUUCCUCUGUUGCACACUUCUCAUCUUUUAUGUAUUACAUUGUUUAGAAAUACCUCCCUCAAAAUAUUUACAAUGGGAAGAUCUGGUCAAAGAUUUGCUGUACAUUAAAUGCAAAGAAAAGGACUUUAUCUAUCUUGACCAUUCUCAUUAUUAUUAGAAGUAAUAGAGAAUGAACAGCACAAGAGGACAAACAAUCAAUCUUCCAGCAAACCCAAACCUUUAAAGCCCAAACAGAGUUCACCCUGCUGGGUUUUUAAGAUGAUGGCAUAUGCCACCAAAUCCUUCUCUGCUUAUUUAUUUUAAAGGGCACAUGUUUUAAAAGACCACUAAAAACAUUAGUGAACUUUGGAGAUUAAACAAAACCAUGUGACAAGGAAAAGAGUAGAGACUUCGUUUCAGAUGUUUGUUUUGACUUUGUGCUAGCUUGGAUUAAAAAAUAGGUAGACGUGACAUUAAACUCUGAAGGUGAGCAGCCUCCAGGGCACCAUUCCCAUCGAGCUAGGACAAUGUGUGGCACAUAGUAGGCACUCAGUACACAUUUGCUGAAUGAAUUAAUGAAUCGCUUUCAGGCAGAUCUAAGAAUCCUGGCUCUAUCCGCCUCUCUUUCUCUCUUGUCUUUCUCAGAGUUGGGAAUGUCAGAGGGAUGAGCAGGAGAGUGGUCUACAAAAAUCCAGCCAUGGGCAUGGAGAAUUUCUGCCAACAUACACAAACUAGCAGGAAGGCUGAGUCCAGUGCUGGCCUCAGUUCUCUAGCUGCUCCUCACUGGAGGCAGGCACAACUCAGGCGUGCCAAGGAUACCCGGCACCUGUGUACAAAGCCAGCCUGUUGUCUCCUGGCAGCAGUUCUAUCCCCUAACGAGGGAAGAGGGAAGAGGGAAGAGGGUCUGGUGAACACUGCUGGUUUAUUCCUCAACACCCUGGAGGAGAACCAAGGGGGGUGGAAAUUAGCAAUUGCACAUGGUUAAGCAUGAAAAACACCUUCCAUGGUAACCUCCCCCUAGGAGACGAAUGGCUACAAUAAGGUCUUGGCUCAUAGUGCCCUUCCCUCCCUCCUCUCUCCCUUUUGACUUCUCUCUCUCUCUCUCUGUGUGUUUGCCUCAUUCUUUUUUUCUCACCUCUGCAAAGGUAACAGACAUGAUGCAGAAAGCCCUCUUUGAUUUCCUGAAGCACAGGUUUGAUGGGAGGAUAUCAAUAACGAGAGUGACAGCUGACAUUUCUCUUGCUAAGAGGUCUGUCCUAAAUAAUCCCAGCAAGAGAGCAAUAAUUGAACGUUCGAACACCCGGUCCAGCUUAGCGGAAGUACAAAGUGAAAUUGAAAGAAUCUUUGAGUUGGCAAGAUCUUUGCAACUGGUCGUUCUUGAUGCAGACACCAUCAAUCACCCAGCACAACUUAUAAAGACUUCCUUAGCACCAAUUAUUGUUCAUGUAAAAGUCUCAUCUCCAAAGGUUUUACAGCGGUUGAUUAAAUCUAGAGGAAAGUCACAAAGUAAACACUUGAAUGUUCAACUGGUGGCAGCUGAUAAACUUGCACAAUGCCCCCCAGAAAUGUUUGAUGUUAUAUUGGAUGAAAAUCAGCUUGAGGAUGCGUGUGAACAUCUAGGGGAGUACCUGGAGGCGUACUGGCGUGCCACCCACACAACCAGUAGCACACCCAUGACCCCGCUGCUGGGAAGGAAUUUGGGCUCCACGGCACUCUCACCAUAUCCCACAGCAAUUUCUGGGUUACAGAGUCAGCGAAUGAGGCACAGCAACCACUCCACAGAGAACUCUCCAAUUGAAAGACGAAGUCUAAUGACCUCUGAUGAAAAUUAUCACAAUGAAAGGGCUCGGAAGAGUAGGAACCGCUUGUCUUCCAGUUCUCAGCAUAGCCGAGAUCAUUACCCUCUUGUGGAAGAAGAUUACCCUGACUCAUACCAGGACACUUACAAACCCCAUAGGAACCGAGGAUCACCUGGGGGAUAUAGCCAUGACUCCCGACAUAGGCUUUGAGUCUAAUGAAACAAAAAAUAUUCAUCUGUUGACAAUUUGCCAUAGCAGUGCUAGGAUAAACCAAUCAUCUUAACUUGGCUAACAUAGCACAGUAUUUACUGUGCUAAUGGGCUGCUGUCAUUUUAUGCUAAGUAAGGGGCAAAAAAAAAAUUACAUUAUGCCCUUGAGUCUAGAUGGAUAUUAGAUGCCCGAUCAUAUAGAUAUUUUUAAGUGCAACAUUUACAUGAUAACAGUACAUUUUGUUUUCUUCAUAGAUUUAGACACAUCAAUUUGUAAUUUAGGGUACUUACAAGGCACAUAUAAAAUAAUUUCCCAUGCCGGAAAUUCCAAAUGACCAGUUCCAGUUGGAACCAAUUUAUAAACCAAUUCCUGUUGGAAUUUGGGUGAAUUGACUAGAAAGUCUACUUGAGCA